rnacentral:rRNA from 1 species
GAGAAGGUGAAAGCCCUGUAGACGAAAUCCAGAGUGGGAAUUAGUGGUAUCCUGAGUAAUACAUCACACGUGGAACGAUGUAUGAACCCGCGCGGACCACCGCGCAAGGCUAAAUACUAGUUGGCGACCGAUAGUGAACAAGUACCGUGAGGGAAAGGUGAAAAGAACCGCUGUGAGCGGAGUGAAAUAGAACCUGAAACCGUAUGUCUACAAAGUGUCAGAGCAGAGCAAUCUGCGAUGGCGUGCCUUUUGUUUAAUGAGUCUGCGAGUCAGUGUUUGUGGCAAGACUAAGGGCUUCCGGCCCGGAGUCGCAGCGAAAGCAAGUCCGAACAGGGCGCAAUAAGUCGCAGGUACUGGACCCGAAGCGGAGGUGACCUACCCUUGGCCAGGUUGAAGCAUGGGUAAAACCAUGUGGAGGACCGAACAGGUGAACGUUGAAAAGUUCUCUGAUGAGCUGAGGGUAGGAGUGAAAGGCUAAUCAAACCCCGUGAUAGCUGGUUCUCUUCGAAAUGCAUUUAGGUGCAGCGUCACGUGCUGAUGCGCGGGGGUAGAGCACUGACAAGGCUAGGGGGCACACCCGCUUACCAAACCUUAUCAAACUCCGAAUACCGUGCAAUGGAACGUGGCAGUGAGACAGUGGGGGAUAAGCUUCAUUGUCGAGAGGGAAACAACCCAGACCAGCAGCUAAGGUGCCUAAAUAACGCUCAGUGGAAAGGAUGUGGGAUUACACAGACAGUGAGGAUGUUGGCUUAGAAGCAGCCACCAUUUAAAAAAUGCGUAAUAGCUUACUCAUCGAGUGAUCCUGCGCCGAAAAUGAUUGGCGAUCAAGCGUUAUACCGAAGCUCUGGACUUUGCCGCAAGGCAGAGUGGUAGAAGAGCGUUGCAUGCGCGUCGAAGGGCGAUGGCGACUGACCCUGGAGCACAUGCAAGUGAGUAUGCAGACAUGAGUAACGUUAAGCCGGGUGAAAUCCCCGGCCGCCGUAAACCCGAGGUUUCCAGGGCAACGUGUUUCGUCCCUGGGUUAGCCGGGACCUAAGCCGAGGCCGAGAGGCGUAGGCGAUGGACAUCAGGUUAAUAAUCCUGAGCUCGCAACCCUUAAACUGGGGGGACGCAUGAGAAAAGAUGACUAGGUUAUUGAAUUCCGAGUUGAGUCCACGGACUCAGCGCAUCAUUGGAUCGAGUGCCAAGAAAAGCCCCAGCGUAUGCUAAGCGACCCGUACCGCAAACCGACACAGGUGGGUGGGUAGAAUAUACCAAGGCGUAAGAGUGAAACCUGGUUAAGGAACUCGGCAAAUUAGCCCCGUAACUUCGGAAGAAGGGGUGCCUGCAGCGAUGCAGGCCGCAGAGAAAUGGCCCAACCGACUGUUUAUCAAAAACACAGCACUCUGCAAAGACGCAAGUCGAAGUAUAGGGUGUGACACGUGACCAAUGCCGAAAGAUUAAGGCAAGGGGUUAGCCGCAAGGCGAAGCUCUAAACCCAAGUCCCGGUGAAUGUCGGCCGUAACUAUAACGGUCCUAAGGUAGCGAAAUUCCUUGUCGGGUAAGUUCCGACCUGCACGAAUCGUGAAACGAGUUGGGCACUGUCUCAACCAGGCGCUCAGUGAAAUUGUAGUGGCGGUGAAGAUGCCGCCUACCCGCAGAAGGACGGAAAGACCCUAUAGACCUUAACUGUAAGCUGUCAUUGUUUCUUCGGUUUUAAUGCUCAGAGUAAGUGGGAGACGCUGAAGACGCCCUUUAGGGGGCGUCCGAGUCAUCAAUGAGACACCACCCUUUGAAACUGGAGGAUCUAACCCUGAGCCGUGAAUCCGGCCAGAGGACCGUGUCAGCCGGUCAGUUUUACUGGGGCGGUAUCCUCCCAAAGAGUAACGGAGGAGCGCGAAGGUGGGCUCAGCCCGGUUGGCAACCGGGUGUCGAGUGCAUGGGCAUAAGCCCGCCUAACUGUGAGACCAACAAGUCGAGCAGAUGCGAAAGCAGGCCCAAGUGAUCCGGCGGUAGAAAGUGGAAUUGCCGUCGCUCAACGGAUAAAAGGUACCUUAGGGAUAACAGGCUGAUCACGCCCAAGAGUUCAUAUCGACGGAGUGGUUUGGCACCUCGAUGUCGGCUCGUCGCAUCCUGGGGCUGGAGAAGGUCCCAAGGGUCCG